rnacentral:lncRNA from 1 species
AUUUAUACUAAAAUGUCUGUAAAUCUGAAUGUUCCUGAAAAGGUCUUCUAGGGCUAAGUGUCUUAAGGGGCACCAGAAUUUUAUUCUUACGGAGGAAAACAUGCCUUGCACACAACACUGCUUACAAAUCAUGGCCUCACUGCAUAACAUACUGUUUAGACAUUAUUAAGUUCCUUGAUGCUGAUCAACGGAGUGUGAAACAUCACAGCAGUACUUCCAGGAAAUGUGAUCUUUCUUCAUGAAACUGACUCACAGAAUUGACACCUGUCAUCCCUCACCCCCAACCCCACCCUGUGGAUGUCUGCCCUUUGACCCCUGAAACCACUCUAUAAUCAUAAACCUGCAAUCCUCAUGGAGGACACCCCCAGGAUAUUAAAGAGAUCAGAAUAAAAAAACAAAACAAAAAGCUACCCCCUGAAGUCUUAGAGAAGACUGUGGUGGCUAAAAGUUAAGCUCAGAGCAUCUCUGCAGACCUGCUAUGUGCUAUAUAUAGUCUCAUCUAAGCCACUUUUCAUUGCUUAGUAUGUUUGUUGCAAUUGUGUCUGGUGGUUGACAACCCCUGUGUGAAUCUGGUGCUCACCGAUUGGCAAAUUCUGGUUGGCCAGCAUCCAGAAUAUAGCCCAGUGGUUCUCUCUGCCUGUCACCCACCCUUACCUACAGUAACACCGUUCUGUGUUGAAUCAGAACUUGUCUUUUCGGGUAAUACAAUAUGGCAGAAGAGAGAAAGGUACCAUUGAAGGUCAGUUCAUGAAGGCAGUGUCUGCCUCCGUCUCUCCUCAAUCAUCUGCACCAGGAAGAGCCAGCAGGCAUGUCCUGGUGACAGCUUCUGGAGGAGCCUUAGAGAGGAAGCAGCGGGCCAUGCGGAAUUGCCCCCAGGGUGAAGGGUGCUGAAGGAGAUGUUUCAGCUUCUAUCAAGAAAGCAGGGAGCUGCAGCUUUGUAUUGAACCCUAAGCCAGAGCACCCAACUAAACUCUUGGAUUCCUGGUCGGCAGAAAUCUUGAGAAAUAAUAAAAAUUGUUUUCAGACAGUAAGCUAGAAUAUUUUGUCACACAGCAAUUAAUAUCUAAUGAAGUAUCCUCCAACUUGAAAGUGUGCUCUAAUUGAUCAGCAACGUGUAACAUAUUACUCUGGGCUGAGGAGCCAUUUUGUAGAUGUUAAGUUCGUCUUUCACGGAGCACCCUCUAUACAUGAUCCCAAGAAUAGACUAUACAAAGUGAUAUGGACAGGGUAAGAAAAGAAUUUUCUUUAUUUUUUUAGGUUUUUCUAGAUAGGGUUUCUCUGUGUAAUAGCCCUGGCUGUCCUGCAACUUCGUAGACUCGGCUGCCUUUGAACUCACAGAGAUCCACCUGCCUCUGCCUCCUGGGUGCUGGGAUUACAACCAUGCACUGCAACCGCCCAUCCAGAAAGGAAUUUUCUAGUGGAUCCAGAAGAGAUUAAUAUUGAGAAAACAUAGACUAUGACAAUAUUGAUAAGACUGGAAGCCAUUUUAAUCAGUAAAAUCAGCCAAGACUUAACAUUGCAUAAUCUCAAUCUCUUUGAAGUCUAAACUAGUUGAGUUUAUAGAACUAAGGAAUAGAACAGGAGCUGGAGAUGGUAGAUUAAAUUUGGAGACAGCAAGGUAUCUCAGUAAUGACUGUGCUUGUUGGACUGUCCAGCAUGAGGACCUGGAGCCACAGCUACAGGAGCCACAUUUUCAAACCUGAUGAGCAUGGGAUGUCCUUGAACGAUCAAGUGGAAAUCGAAGAGAGAUAUCAAGUGCUCUUGCUCCCAAAACAGAACUAGAAGAGUGGGUCUGAGAAACAGAAGAGUGUGGGUAACAAGCAGUCCAUCCGAGUUUAUGUGACAGAUGAGUGUGAGGAAUCCAAUGUAUCGUGUAGGAUAUGAGGCAGUGUGGACCCAAAGAUAAAUGGACCAGCAGUCUUUUCAGUAUGGGGGCAGCAUCGAAGAAAGAGACCCAAGAGGGAAGAUGCU